AUAUUGAAACGUGAUUGUGCCGCAAAGGCCUUUGGUUGCAAUACAACUUUUAACAACGGAUCUCUUGGCUCUCGCAUCGAUGAAGAACGCAGCGAAAUGCGAUAAGUAAUGUGAAUUGCAGAAUUCAGUGAAUCAUCGAAUCUUUGAACGCACCUUGCGCUCCCUGGUAUUCCGGGGAGCACGCCUGUUCGAGUGUCGUGAAAUCCUCAAGCUUGGGUGCUUUUUCAUCUUAAGCUUGGUAAUUGGGCUCUGCUGGUCCUUUCAUUGGAACAGCUGGCCUUAAAAUCAUUAGCUGAUCCUCAUGUUGUGGCGUUGGUUUUACUCAGCGUGAUAAUGAAUCUGACCGCUGGGGACAUCUUUCGGGAUGGCCAAUUCUCAUCUUGGGUUGCUUCUAAUUUGG
rnacentral:rRNA from 1 species